rnacentral:rRNA from 1 species
ACGCUGGCGGCGUGCUUUAACACAUGCAAGUCGAACGGAACUCUUUGGAUCGAGACUUCGGUCAAGUGAAUUUGAGUUUAGUGGCGGACGGGUGAGUAACGCGUGGGUAACCUGCCUCAUACAGGGGGAUAACAGUUAGAAAUGACUGCUAAUACCGCAUAAGCGCACAGGACCGCAUGGUCUGGUGUGAAAAACUCCGGUGGUAUGAGAUGGACCCGCGUCUGAUUAGCUAGUUGGUGGGGUAACGGCCUACCAAGGCGACGAUCAGUAGCCGGCCUGAGAGGGUGAACGGCCACAUUGGGACUGAGACACGGCCCAAACUCCUACGGGAGGCAGCAGUGGGGAAUAUUGCACAAUGGGGGAAACCCUGAUGCAGCGACGCCGCGUGAGUGAAGAAGUAUUUCGGUAUGUAAAGCUCUAUCAGCAGGGAAGAAAAUGACGGUACCUGACUAAGAAGCACCGGCUAAAUACGUG